UACGUAGGGGGCAAGCGUUGUCCGGAAUCAUUGGGCGUAAAGCGCGUGUAGGCGGCCCGAUAAGUCCGCUGUGAAAGUCCAGGGCUCAACCCUGGAAUGCCGGUGGAUACUGUCGGGCUAGAGUCCGGAAGAGGCGAGUGGAAUUCCUGGUGUAGCGGUGGAAUGCGCAGAUAUCAGGAGGAACACCGAUGGCGAAGGCAGCUCUCUGGGACGGUACUGACGCUGAGACGCGAAAGCGUGGGGAGCGAACAGG
rnacentral:rRNA from 1 species